rnacentral:rRNA from 1 species
UACGUAGGGUGCAAGCGUUGUCCGGAAUUAUUGGGCGUAAAGGGCUCGUAGGCGGUCUGUCACGUCGGGAGUGAAAACUCGGGGCUUAACCCCGAGCCUGCUUCCGAUACGGGCAGACUAGAGGUAUGCAGGGGAGAAUGGAAUUCCUGGUGUAGCGGUGGAAUGCGCAGAUAUCAGGAGGAACACCGAUGGCGAAGGCAGAUCUCUGGGCCGUAACUGACGCUGAGGAGCGAAAGCGUGGGGAGCGAACAGG